UCCGCCUGGUGGUGGGGGACAACGUUUCCACCGGAACUACUAAUACCGCAUACGUCCUACGGGAGAAAGCAGGGGACCUUCGGGCCUUGCGCUAUCAGAUGAGCCUAGGUCGGAUUAGCUAGUUGGUGGGGUAAUGGCUCACCAAGGCGACGAUCCGUAACUGGUCUGAGAGGAUGAUCAGUCACACUGGAACUGAGACACGGUCCAGACUCCUACGGGAGGCAGCAGUGGGGAAUAUUGGACAAUGGGCGAAAGCCUGAUCCGCCAUGCCGCGUGUGUGAAGAAGGUCUUCGGAUUGUAAAGCACUUUUAAGUUGGGAGGAAGGGCAGUAAGUUAAUACCUUGCUGUUUUGAC
rnacentral:rRNA from 1 species